rnacentral:rRNA from 1 species
UGCAGUCGAGCGACGGAUAAGGAGCUUGCUCCUUUGAAGUUAGCGGCGGACGGGUGAGUAACACGUGGGUAACCUACCUAUAAGACUGGGAUAACUUCGGGAAACCGGAGCUAAUACCGGAUAACAUUUAGAACCGCAUGGUUCUAAAGUGAAAGAUGGUUUUGCUAUCACUUAUAGAUGGACCCGCGCCGUAUUAGCUAGUUGGUAAGGUAACGGCUUACCAAGGCGACGAUACGUAGCCGACCUGAGAGGGUGAUCGGCCACACUGGAACUGAGACACGGUCCAGACUCCUACGGGAGGCAGCAGUAGGGAAUCUUCCGCAAUGGGCGAAAGCCUGACGGAGCAACGCCGCGUGAGUGAUGAAGGGUUUCGGCUCGUAAAACUCUGUUAUUAGGGAAGAACAAAUGUGUAAGUAACUGUGCACAUCUUGACGGUACCUAAUCAGAAAGCCACGGCUAACUACGUGCCAGCAGCCGCGGUAAUACGUAGGUGGCAAGCGUUAUCCGGAAUUAUUGGGCGUAAAGCGCGCGUAGGCGGUUUCUUAAGUCUGAUGUGAAAGCCCACGGCUCAACCGUGGAGGGUCAUUGGAAACUGGGAAACUUGAGUGCAGAAGAGGAAAGUGGAAUUCCAUGUGUAGCGGUGAAAUGCGCAGAGAUAUGGAGGAACACCAGUGGCGAAGGCGACUUUCUGGUCUGUAACUGACGCUGAUGUGCGAAAGCGUGGGGAUCAAACAGGAUUAGAUACCCUGGUAGUCCACGCCGUAAACGAUGAGUGCU